GAACAAUGUAGGUAAGGGAAGUCGGCAAAUCGGAUCCGUAACUUUGGGGGAAGAAUUGGCUGUGGGGGCCGGGUCAGACAGGCCGAGAUCAGAUACAUGUCGGUCCAGUCGAGGGCUGGUUUCGUUGCUGCUUUGUGUUCUUCGGUGCGCGCUGUGGUGAGGUUACUAGACUCUGACCCUGGUCGAUCGUGGGCGGUUUCAGCUGUUAGUGUCGUGCAUCUAGCAACGCGCGAGGACUUGUUCCACGUUGCGUCAAGCGGCUGUACUUCCAUGGUCUGGCGCGUGACGGCUAACUCAGAACUGGCACGGAUCAGGGGAAUCCGACCGUCUAAUUAAAACAAAGGAUCGCGAUGUCCACUGAUUGAUUUUGACGCAAUGUGAUUUCUGCCCAGUGCUCUGAAUGUCAAAAUACAAUAUAUCUUACUAAAAUAUCAUACUAUGCAGUACCCGGUUACGGAAACACUUAAGUUAAUAAACCACAAUCGAAAGAUCUCCAUCGUAAAACCAUUUCUUUUGGAAAUUUUUGUAGUUGUUAUUAAAGUAUCAGAGUUCAAAACCAUACUUGAUAUU
rnacentral:ncRNA from 1 species